AGCGAACGCUGGCGGCAUGCUUAACACAUGCAAGUCGCACGGGCAUGGCAACAUGUCAGUGGCGGACGGGUGAGGAACACGUAGGAACGUGUCCUGGGGUGGGGGAUAACGCCGGGAAACUGGCGCUAAUACCGCAUAUGAGCUGAGGCUCAAAGCCGAGAGGCGCCUUGGGAGCGGCCUGCGUACGAUUAGCUUGUUGGUGGGGUAAUGGCCUACCAAGGCUACGAUCGUUAGCUGGUCUGAGAGGACGACCAGCCACACUGGGACUGAAACACGGCCCAGACUCCUACGGGAGGCAGCAGUGGGGAAUAUUGGACAAUGGGCGAAAGCCUGAUCCAGCAAUGCCGCGUGGGUGAAGAAGGUCUUCGGAUUGUAAAGCCCUUUCGGCGGGGACGAUGAUGACGGUACCCGCAGAAGAAGCCCCGGCUAACUUCGUGCCAGCAGCCGCAGUAACAC
rnacentral:rRNA from 1 species